CUUCCCAUACGGGUGGAAGCAUGACCGAAAGGACAUGUGGAAAUCAUGGGAGUGAGAAUGUUGGCAGGAGUAGCGAUAUGUGGGGCAGAAUCCCACAGGCCGUAAACCCAAGGGUUUCCAGGGGAAGGUUCGUCCGCCCUGGGUUAGUCGGGACCUAAGCUGAGGCCGAAAGGCGUAGGUGAUGGACAACAGGAUGAUAUUCCUGUACUACCGAUAACCGGUUGAGAGAGGGGAUGACACAGUAGGAUAAGCUAAGCACACUGUUGGUUAUGUGUGCCCAAGCAUUGAGGCAGUCAAAGUAGGCAAAUCCGCUUUGAUAAUGCUGGGAUGUGAUGGGG
rnacentral:rRNA from 1 species